rnacentral:tRNA from 1 species
GAGUCUGUGGCCUAAUUGGUAAGGCAACGGCCUUUUAAGCCGUGGAUUGUGGGUUCGAUUCCCACCAGACUCA